rnacentral:lncRNA from 1 species
GGCUGCCCUGAAUGAGUGAACUGAAGAAAAGUUUCUCUGUAAGGAGUGACAGACGACUGGACUCACAGAAGUAGGGGAGGCAUGAAUGGGAUAAAAUUUUUGAAUUUAUGUUCAACAUGUUUCCUGCAGAUUUAGUGGAGGAAAAAUCCACACAUACCCCCAUCCCAAUCCCCCAAAUUUUCUUCAACAUGCCGCUUCUGUUCUUGGAAGAGUUAACUGCCUCGCUUCUGCAUAAGAGUCCCAAACACUGAGAACUAGGGUGUCUUCCCCUUCCUUUCCUUCCAAAAAGGCCAGCAGCCUCAAGCAAGCCAAAGUCCUUUCCUCUUGAAUGCGUAGUCUUGUGAACUCCACUGUCUUCACAAACUCAGCAGCUGGUGGAAGCUCUCUGAAGAACUGAGACAGGAGGUGGCACUGCUCUGACACCAUCCUUUGAAGGUGACAGAGCAUCUCAGGGCUUGGGGGACGCCAGCCGGACUUCGAGAGGAGACAGAAGAGGUGCUUGCAGAGGCCACGAGGUCAUCACUCUCUCCCAACAGCCAUCCCAGCAGGAUGGGCAGUCCAGGGGCCAACUGGUCCCACUGCUGGAGCAGAUCACACAGGACGGCCAGGGCCAGGGCCAGAGCGAUGGAGGCAUCCACCUGGCAGAAGGCAAACUCUGCAAAGACAGGAGAAAGUGUCACCAGAAGGAUCAGGAAGGCUUCCCUGUCCAGUGUCUCCUCUGCACAUCUGCCUGGAUUUGACUGGUUUGUCCUUUCCUUGGAAAGCAGAUCUCUUGGGCACAAGACACAUCCUAGAGCAGGGCAUCGGCAAGCUUUUCCUUAAAGGGCCAGAGAGUCAAUAUUUUAGGCUUUGCAAGUCUAUACCUCCUCAACUCGGC